rnacentral:rRNA from 1 species
AUUGAACGCUGGCGGCAUGCCUUACACAUGCAAGUCGAACGGCAGCACGGGAGCUUGCUCCUGGUGGCGAGUGGCGAACGGGUGAGUAAUACAUCGGAACGUACCCAGUAGUGGGGGAUAACGCACCGAAAGGUGCGCUAAUACCGCAUACGACCUACGGGUGAGAGCGGGGGACCGUAAGGCCUCGCGCUAUUGGAGCGGCCGAUGUCUGAUUAGCUAGUUGGCGGGGUAAUAGCCCACCAAGGCGACGAUCAGUAGCUGGUCUGAGAGGACGAUCGGCCACACUGGGACUGAGACACGGUCCAGACUCCUACGGGAGGUAGCAGUGGGGAAUUUUGGACAAUGGGGGCAACCCUGAUCCAGCAAUGCCGCGUGUGCGAAGAAGGCCUUCGGGUUGUAAAGCACUUUUGUCAGGGAAGAAAUCUUUCAGGCUAAUACCCUUGGAAGGAUGACGGUACCUGAAGAAUAAGCACCGGCUAACUACGUGCCAGCAGCCGCAGUAA